GGUCUGGUGGUCUAGUGGUAUGAUUCUCGCUUAGGGCUCACCCUACAGCAGUGCUUGCGAGAGGUCCCGGGUUCAAUCCCCGGCCAGACCC